GCCAGCAGCCAUAUCACCCUGCAAUUCACAACUAGCAACCCACUGAAGCUAAGCAGGUGUGAGCCUGGUCAGUACCUGGAUAGGAGACCUCCUGGGAAACACUAAGGUUGCUGCUGGAA
ensembl:rRNA 5S_rRNA 5S ribosomal RNA